AAAACGACUCUCGACAACGGAUAUCUCGGCUCUCGCAUCGAUGAAGAACGUAGCAAAAUGCGAUACUUGGUGUGAAUUGCAGAAUCCCGUGAACCAUCGAGUCUUUGAACGCAAGUUGCGCCCGAAGCCGUCAGGCCGAGGGCACGUCUGCCUGGGCGUCACGCAUCGCGUCGCCCCCC
rnacentral:rRNA from 2 species